AUUGAACGCUGGCGGCAUGCCUUACACAUGCAAGUCGAACGGCAGCACGGGUGAUUGCACCUGGUGGCGAGUGGCGGACGGGUGAGUAAUACAUCGGAACAUGUCCUGUAGUGGGGGAUAGCCCGGCGAAAGCCGGAUUAAUACCGCAUACGAUCUACGGAUGAAAGCGGGGGACCUUCGGGCCUCGCGCUAUAGGGUUGGCCGAUGGCUGAUUAGCUAGUUGGUGGGGUAAAGGCCUACCAAGGCGACGAUCAGUAGCUGGUCUGAGAGGACGACCAGCCACACUGGGACUGAGACACGGCCCAGACUCCUACGGGAGGCAGCAGUGGGGAAUUUUGGACAAUGGGCGAAAGCCUGAUCCAGCAAUGCCGCGUGUGUGAAGAAGGCCUUCGGGUUGUAAAGCACUUUUGUCCGGAAAGAAAUCCUUGGCCCUAAUACGGUCGGGGGAUGACGGUACCGGAAGAAUAAGCACCGGCUAACUACGUG
rnacentral:rRNA from 1 species